AUGAAGCCUUUCGGGGUGUAAACCACUGUUGCCCGGGACGAAACUCUCCUUUCGAGGAGAUUGACGGUACCGGGUGAGGAAGCACCGGCUAACUCUGUGC
rnacentral:rRNA from 1 species